CCAUGCUAGCCGGGGAGGCAGCGGCGCCCUGUACCCACAAUCCGCUAUAGUGGGGGUGAUGUCCGCUUUGCGGAUGCUUAUCUUUUACGGCUGCCCUGUUGAACUGAUGUUGAAAGAUUGAGUCUUGUGCAAUAGGAACCUGUGAACCGUGUCAGAUCCGGAAGGAAGCAGCACUAAGCAGUCAUUUCUAUGUGCCACGAGGUCGCUUGGUCCGAGUCGGUGAUGCAGGUAACGCGCAGAAGAGGCAGACAAGAAGCGGACGCAUGG
rnacentral:SRP_RNA from 1 species